CCUUUUUUUUUUUGCCGUUCGAUCGAUGGAUCGGCCGGCUCUCGUUGCCUCUCGGGCGGGAUUAGGUGGCCGCUUCCGGUUUUGCCCGCGCGAGCAAGUGUGGGACGCGUGCCGUGGUUCGGUUGGCGGUUCGUCGUGCAGAGCGCGGCGGUCCUUAUCCUUUCGUCCUCAUGCCACUCGCCCUCAUGGACCACGCGCAACUGAGCUCUGGUGUCCGGCGAUUUCUUCUCAAUCAAGCGUCUCUCUGUGCUCCGCCCCCGCCACCGUUUCCCCUCCCCCAGAUCCAGCCAGCACGCUUCGUCUCCUUCUCUUUCUCCCCGCCGCCUUAUCCUCCCACAUCGUCCCCGUCGCUUCCUCCUGUGCAGUAGCUUCAUCAGCGGCGUCUACUCCCCUUGCAUCGGUAUUAGGGAGCAACUGUGGUUCCGGUGGCCUGCAAGAGUACGCCGCGGCUGCGCGAGGCGUACAGGAAUUCAGCAGGACCUCCACACCACCCUCGUCAUCUCGGAUGGUUUGCUUCAAUAUAUGAGGAACACAUUGCUUAUCGUACCUGGAAGUUUUUCGAUUCAUUGGUUGUAUCAUUAAUAUCUAGAUGAUAAUAUGGUGCUGAAUAUUUCUGCGAUUUUGCUUCCCUCUGCCGAACCUAUAAACAUAAGUUUCUUCUGAUAUCUCUUCUGCUUAUGUUUUCCCAUAUGCAACACAGCUUGUAUAGCUACUUGAGAUAUCUAGGUCCAAGCAAUGUCACAAUGAGCUAUCAACAACCAAGUCGUCCGAAUCCAUCGACAAUGGCUAAGACGCUGUCCAGUACAAAAUUGAUCAGAUGUCCAAGCGGUCUAUCAAUAUUAUGUAGUUUGGUAUCCCCACCAAGGUAUUCAGUUAGCGGUCCUCUCCUCAGUGGAAUGCCCUCAGGUUGCAGGAUGAUCCAAAGUAGAAUAUCUCGAACACUUUAUCACAGCUUUCCAUUGUAUUACAUGUGAUAGGCUUUUUCAGCUUCAGGUUGCAUUUCUCUCGGGACAUAGUUAUUUUAAAACAUGAGAAGCGAUAAACGUAAAGAAUUCAUGAUCAUAAAAAAGAAAAUUUUGGUUCGUGGCUGUUGGCCAGCAGCAGUGGUCCUACAUUGCCACCGAGCAACAGACGGGGGCACGCCAAAUAAAAGGUGUUUAAUGUAGUCUACUCAAUGACAGAGUCAACUGAUCACUCCUGUAAUAGUCCUCAUUGGACUGGUGUUUCCUCAGUAUAUCCUUUUUCUGGUCUGUUAUUAGUUUAACCUUUCAGUGUUCUAUUGGGUGACAUCUAAAAUUUCCUCAUUCCUCGUUUUAGAGUUUCGAGCUAUUUCAUAAAUAUUUUGCUGAAUUUACACUUGGCAACUAUAUAAUGUAACAUGCCUAUACAAUAGAGCUGCCGAUACCAUUUUGUUUUUUAUUUACCUGUUUGCAUUUGUUUGUUAUACUUUGCUUGAUUUGGCAUUACUCAGGCAAAGAUAUGCCGCUCCCUGACAAAACUAGGAGGAACUUGGUAAGGCAAGUUGAUAAACCACGCUCAAUAUGCAUAUUGGCUCCUCCAUUGGUAUAUACAGAGUAUUAGGAGGCAAGAGAGUAGUAGUAGGAGAGUAUCUGUUACAGUUGCUUACCAUUCUGUGCAUAUAUUGUGUUGGCUUUCUGUUCCUCUCGUUCAUUUCAUUUGACUGCUCUCCAAACAGUCACACAUGCAGAUGGAUGUUCAUUUCAUUUGAGUGCUCUCCGUACAGUCACACAUGCAGAUGGAUGGAUAUCAAGACCAUUUUUAUUGAUCAUUGAUUAUACCGAAAUGAUAAAUAUAGAUUGAAUAUAUCUUCAUAUUUUGUGCUCUUCGUUAGGCAGCUGCAUGUUACAUUUCCAAAGGACAGAUUAAUACACGUUUGAAGGUUAUGGAUAUGAUUGGCAUGAAGCUUUCUAUGUUGAACCAAAUAAAGGUGAGCUCGAACUUUCUCAUUUUUUUAUGUAACUUCUAUGCUGACCUAAAUGAACCAUUUAUAGGUUCAUCACUGCGGUCCUUUUUAGCCUACAUACAUAGUUAAGACAUCUUUUCGUAGUUUCCAGUUGUGUGACAAGUUAUAACAUCCAGCUAUAUUGCUUUUCUGUUACAUUAUACUCAAUCAACCUGCUUUGUCCUAGGUUUGCGCUUCAGUUUACUUGCUGUUAUUGGCUAUAUUAGAUUAUCCUAACAAAUUUUAGAUGGCUGCAUGAGCUAUGGAGCAUCACGUAUCCCGUGACUCAAAGUAUGAUUUUUAGGUCUGAUGACUUCGAUAGAUUGAUUUUCCUAGCUGAUGAUGUCUGGUAGAUCAUCCUCAGGUUUGGUGAAUGUUAUUUCCUGAAGAAUUAGUGCUUGGCGAACAGCGUUUUUAUUUUUUGGUUGCUGGUGUAGGAUGCCUUGUUUGUUUAUUCCAAUAAUGGGCUUUGUGCUCAUUUGAGCAACAGUGAGAAUGGUGUUGUGUUUUUUUAUUAGGUAACUGCCUUUCCCAAUGAUUGUUUUAAUCUGUAUCAUGUUGUCAUGAAGAUUAUUAGGAUAGGGGAAAUGUCUAUAUGGAAUGGUUAAUUUCUUGCUAUCAUAGAUCUCUGGUCAACUCUAGCUAUUGGAGGCUAUCUGCAAUUCAGACCUUCAUGAGAUGAAUGCAGCUCUUCCUAGGUCUCUUGAAUGUUGCAGCUUUGUAAUGAUGAGAAGUUCCUCGGUUGUGUGUUACCAAUUCAUUCAUUUGCCAGUUCAGGUGCUCCCUACAGUACUAUGCUUCCUAUUAUUUCUGCCCUGGGCGAUAGCUGCGUCUCUUAAGAUUAGGAAUGUUUUUUCAUAUCACCAUAAUUUUUCUCUUAAGAUUAGGUAUGUUCUUUUAUAUCACCAUCAUUUUUUACAUCGUACUGCUCCCACAUCAGCUGAC